rnacentral:piRNA from 1 species
UUUGGGGGAAAUUGGUAGGUGUCUG